UCCAGGCAGGAUGGCUGCAGUGUACGAACAUCAGGGAGGAGAGUUUGACAAGAAGAGAGGAAAGAAUUAAGAGUUAAGAUAAUCAAAGAAAGGGGACAAAACAUAAAUUCACAAACAUUGAUUAUUCAGGGUUAGGUGAGGGAAAAAAACAGGACAGUCAAGUGUUUGAUUGGCUUGAUUUGUCCAAAGUUAGCAAACAACAAGCAAGUGUAACAAUAAAGGAUCGUAAGAAAAAUUCCCCACCUGCAACACAGAGCACCAAGCUGAAAGGAGCUCAAGUUAAAGACUUUAGAUGAGUUGCGAAGCGGAGGCUGAAACGGACCUGGCUGGAAGCCGUCACAGGCAGAGGACUGGGACCGCAGUGCUGGGGGUCCGUCGGAGUCAGAGGACAGGAACUGCUGUUCCGUCUUUUCCCGUUUCCAGAGGAGGUGAAAGACUUGCAGCCAUCCUGCAGAUGCUGGCUAGAAGAAGGAACCUGUAUUUGAGACAACAUUACCGGCCAGGAAGCAGCUUCGAAAUCUCUGCCCAGCGGUUGCCGAGCCGCUUGUGGGCUUCAUAGAUGAUCCGAUCCUCCUCCUGCGUCCACGACGACUUCUUCACCUCUGGGUUCAGGUGGUUGUGCCAACGCUCGCGGCACUGCUUUCCAAUCCUCCCUUGCAGGGUCCUUUUACCAGCUCUGGGUUGAGGACCUUCUGCCAGCGGUGCUGACACUGACCAUCUGUCCUCCCCUGUGGCAGCAGACACAGAAAGUUCAGAACCAGCUCAUCACUCUGGACCAGCUGCUAAACUGGCCCCCAAAACUGUAACUCACUACGACUUUCCAGCCACACGGUGCCCUAAUGCAAUUGGUAAAUGACUUUGACAGUCAAAGAGUGAAUAAAAUGUUCUUUUGUG